GGAAAGAAAGCGGAAUAUUUAGAGAUAGUGUGUUAUUAUAGUAACUAACAAUGUAGGAGUUAUUAUCAUCCCUAUUUUACAAAUGAGCAAACUGAGGACCGAAGUUGAAACAGUUGGGAGAUCGCAGCUUCCCUUCCGCAGAAGGAACAAGCCACAAGUGUAUGAGGUGGAGGUUUGCAUCUGAGAAAAGCUGAGAGGACAACCUUGGCCUAAGAUUUUAGCAGGAAUAUCUAAGGAAUCCAUACAAGCAACACGGAACCAGAAAAACAAUUCUACUGAAGAGCUGCCCCUGAAGACAAGACAUUUUCCAGAUGGCCUCAAGAAAAGAUGUUCCGGACACCAGACAACUACAUGGGACAUCUGGAUUCCAAGAUGAAAUUUGAUAAUUAAAUGGACAUUGGGGGUGUCCCUUCUUCAUUGAUAAAAUCAAAUUGUUCUGAUCCCAUUCUGUAAUGGAUUCUAUUCUCUGCCACCCCCAAUAUGUUGUAAAACUACCCAAGCCAUGUUUCUUUGUCUCUGAACCAAGUUCAGAAAUUCAACUCACCCAUUAAUCCCCAGAUGCCAUUGGUUCUCCUUCACCUCCCCAGGGUGAAAUGGAAGAAAAUUCUAACAAUUCUGGUAAUUUUCUUUUUGGUCAUGUUGUUUCCAAUCUGUGCUUAUAUUGGGUAUGUGGUUUAUACUUACAAAUGAGAUCAUCCUGGCUGUACCUAAAAAGACCCUAAACACCCUAAGCAUAGAGCUGCCCCAAGGACAUUGCCGAAGAUAUUCAAAAAAUUAUAUGGGUUGCUUUUCAGGGGUGGAUUAUAGGAUUUGAAUUGGGAAAAACACCUAAAAUAGAGUAAUAAGUAAAAAGUCACAAAACUUAAACUCUAUGAAAGAUGGAAGCCCAAACAUGGUGAUCUGUUUACAAAUUGUAACUUAGAUACUAAAUCAUAACUUAGACACUGAGUCAAAACUUAAGAUACUAUGAUUUAUGAAAGCCAAAACAAGAAUACUGUGACCAGGACAUGAUAAAUACACAAACUUUUGUUUGGACAUAACAUUGGCUUAACUCCCAAGCUCACUACUAAGCAGAAAACCAAAAAUAUCCACCAAUCAGUGGUGAUGCAUUCUGUAGCUCCUCCUGCUUUUUUUUUUUAUCUUUUAAGGAUAUCUAGUUUAUUAUCCAAAAAAGUCUGGUUUGCUACUGCUGUCCUUACAAAUACAGUUGGACUCAAACAAUGAACGUGUCUUAGUCAUAGGAGGAAAGGAGGGGAAUGUUGCUAGCCCUCAUUCGCAAUUUCUAUCCAAUUAUAUUUUGUUCCAACUAUGAUGCCAGCCUUCCUAUUUUCUGUAUUACCCCAAAAUAUAAAAGAAAGCUGUCCCCCUCAUUUGAGGUCUUAGCAUUUAUGGGGAAGCUGAGAUCUGAUUUAUUGGUAAAUUCAUGCUUUACUAAUAAA